AAUAAGAUAGGAUAAAUUAGUCCAAAAGGUUCAUACCCUUUAAGUGUUUUCUCUUGUUA
rnacentral:tRNA from 1 species